rnacentral:rRNA from 1 species
UACGUAGGGGGCUAGCGUUGUCCGGAAUCAUUGGGCGUAAAGAGCGUGUAGGCGGCCCGGUAAGUCCGCUGUAAAAGUCAAAGGCUCAACCUUUGAAUGUCAGUGGAUACUGCCGGGCUAGAGUCCGGAAGAGGCGAGUGGAACUCCUGGUGUAGCGGUGGAAUGCGCAGAUAUCAGGAAAAACACCAACGGCGAAGGCAGCUCGCUAGGACGGUACUGACGCUGAGACGCGAAAGCGUGGGGAGCGAACAGG